AUAUUGCGCAAUGGUGGAAACUCUGACGCAGCUACGCCACUUGAGCGAGGAAGGUCUUCGGAUCGUAAAGCUCUGUCCUUUGGGAAGAAGUUCGAAAGAUUUGACGGUACCCGCUGUGGAAGCCCCGGCUAACUACGUUCCUUCCGCCGCCGUAAUACGUAGGGGGCAAGCGUUGUCCGGAAUGAUUGGGAGUAAAGGGUGCGUAGGCGGCUUUUUAAGUAAGAUGUGAAAGACCACGGCUUAACCGUGGGGUUGCAUUUGAAACUGGAAGGCUUGAGUAUCGGAGAGGGUAGUGGAAUUCCCAGUGUAGCGGUGAAAUGCGUAGAUAUUGGGAGGAACACCAGUGGCGAAGGCGACUACCUGGACGAAAACUGACGCUGAUGCACGAAAGCUAGGGGAGCAAACA
rnacentral:rRNA from 1 species